AUACGGAGGAUGCAAGCGUUAUCCGGAUUUAUUGGGUUUAAAGGGUGCGCAGGCGGCCAUUUAAGUCAGCGGUUAAAUCGUGGGGCUCAACCCCAUUCUGCCGUUGAUACUGGGUGGCUUGAUUGCGGUCGAGGUUGGCGGAAUUCGUUGUGUAGCGGUGAAAUGCAUAGAUAUCACGAAGAACUCCGAUUGCGAAGGCAGCUCACUAGACGGUUACUGACACUGAUGCUCGAAAGUGUGGGUAUCAAACAGGAUUAGAUACCCUGGUAGUCCGCACAGUAAACGAUGAAUACUUGUUUUCGGCGAUAUAAUGUCGGAGGCAAAGCGAAAGCGAUAAGUAUUCCACCUGGGGAGUACGCCGGCAACGGUGAAACUCAAAGGAAUUGACGGGG
rnacentral:rRNA from 1 species